GAAGAUGAGCUCCAGGAGAUCUUACCAAUCCCUCCAGGCCAUUCUUAGGCACAUACAAUUUGGAAACUACUGGCCUGGGCCUUUUCUCCUGAUUUCCUGAUUGACAGCAUAGGGGCUAUCAAUCUUGGUUACACAGAUGCAGUCCAGCACCAAGGCUGGGAUUGGACCCAGGGAUCAGGUAUUUUAAGGCUCCCCAGGUAAUUUCAAUGUGCAGCCAAGCCUGAGACCCACUGAUUUGGAGCAAGAAUUUGAAUGAAGCAUUGUCCUCUGUAGGUUCUGGUCCCUCAAGAGAAGUUCUGAGCACACUUGUCCCUCGUACCCAUUCACCUACUGCUACCACUAUACAGUCGUUAACGUUGCUGAAAUCACUGACUAAAGGUUCCUUCAUGUGAAGGCGGCCAUGGCUACCAGCAGCCCCAAAGGCACACCCUGUUAACAAUAAUGAGAAGAGACGCUUAACCUAUAUCAGGCACAAUUCUAGGCACUUCAGAGCCUGUGAGGCAACAAGAAAGAGAGAACAUGCUCUCCACUUCAAAUUUAGAAAAUCCAUAGACAAGCUCUAAAUUGAGCCAGCUUGGGUCACGUAUCCACCUGCUGAAAUAAUCACUGGGUCUAGAAC
ensembl:lncRNA